AACGAACGCUGGCGGCAGGCCUAACACAUGCAAGUCGGGCGCCCCGCAAGGGGAGCGGCGGACGGGUGAGUAACGCGUGGGAAUAUGCCCUUUGCUACGGAAUAGUCUCGGGAAACUGGGGGUAAUACCGUAUACGCCCUCUGGGGGAAAGAUUUAUCGGCGAAGGAUUAGCCCGCGUUGGAUUAGGUAGUUGGUGGGGUAAUGGCCUACCAAGCCGACGAUCCAUAGCUGGUUUGAGAGGAUGAUCAGCCACACUGGGACUGAGACACGGCCCAGACUCCUACGGGAGGCAGCAGUGGGGAAUCUUAGACAAUGGGGGCAACCCUGAUCGAGCCAUGCCGCGUGAGUGAUGAAGGCCUUAGGGUUGUAAAGCUCUUUCAGCUGGGAAGAUAAUGACGGUACCAGCAGAAGAAGCCCCGGCUAACUCCGUG
rnacentral:rRNA from 1 species